rnacentral:rRNA from 1 species
AGGAUGAACGCUGGCGGCGUGCCUAACACAUGCAAGUCGAACGUCCUGUCUCGCAAGAGGCAGGGAGUGGCGGACGGGUGAGUACCACGUGGGUCAUCUACCGUGAGGUGAGGAAUACCGGCGAGAAAUCGCCGACAAGACCGCAUAGGCUCGAUGCAAGUCGAGCAAAGCUCUUUCGAGAGAGGGAGCGCCACACGAGGAGCCUGCGCCCGAUUAGCUAGCUGGUGGAGUAACGGUUCACCAGGGCGACGAUCGGUAGCUGGUCUGAGAGGACGAUCAGCCACACUGGGAUUGAGAACGGCCCAGACUCCUACGGGGGGCAGCAGUGAGGAAUAUUGGACAAUGGGCGCAAGCCUGAUCCAGCCAUGCCGCGUGGAUGAUGAAGGCCUUAGGGUUGUAAAGUCCUUUUAACGGGGAGAUAAUGACGGUACCCGUAGAAUAAGCCCGGCUAACUUCGUGCCAGCAGCCGC